CUGAGGACUGCUCACUCAGCCUCCCGCCCCCAGCUGUGACAGCACCGGAGCCUCUCGGACGCCUGGACCAUGGACCCCAGGGAAUGCUCCUGCAUGUCUGGAAUCUGCCUCUGUGGAGACAACUGCAAAUGUACAACUUGCAACUGUAAAACAUGUCGAAAAAGCUGCUGUCCCUGCUGCCCACCAGGCUGUGCC